rnacentral:rRNA from 1 species
CUUGAAACACGGACCAAGGAGUUUAUCGUGUACGCAAGUCAUUGGGUGAAUAAAACCUAAAGGCGAAAUAAAAGUAAAGAGUUGAGUUUAUAUAAAAUUAUAUUUUAUUAUAGCCUCUCUUAAGGGAAGAUGAAAAUUUAAUUUUUAAUAUAUUUUAUAUAUUAUUAAUAAAAAUUUUUCGCACUCCCGGGGCGCUUGUUUCACGCUUUGCGUGUCAAUGCGCACCUAGAGCGUACACGAUGAUACCCGAAAGAUGGUGAACUAUGCCUGGCCAGGACGAAGCCAGGGGAAACCCUGGUGGAGGUCCGCAGCGAUUCUGACGUGCAAAUCGAUCGUCGGAGCUGGGUAUAGGGGCGAAAGACCAAUCGAACCAUCUAGUAGCUGGUUCCCUCUGAAGUUUCCCUCAGGAUA